rnacentral:tRNA from 1 species
GCGCUGGUGGUUCAGUGGUAGAAUUCUCGCCUGCCACGCGGGAGACCGGGGAUCGAUUCCCCGCUAGCGCA